CCCUACGGGGGGCAGCAGUGGGGAAUAUUGCACAAUGGGGGAAACCCUGAUGCAGCGACGCCGCGUGAGUGAAGAAGUAUUUCGGUAUGUAAAGCUCUAUCAGCAGGGAAGAAGAAGGACGGUACCUGAGUAAGAAGCCCCGGCUAACUACGUGCCAGCAGCCGCGGUAAUACGUAGGGAGCGAGCGUUGUCCGGAUUUACUGGGUGUAAAGGGUGCGUAGGCGGCUAUGCAAGUCAGUAGUGAAAUCCAUGGGCUUAACCCAUGAACUGCUAUUGAAACUGCACAGCUUGAGUGAAGUAGAGGG
rnacentral:rRNA from 1 species